rnacentral:lncRNA from 1 species
CAAACAGGAAGCAGCCUCUGAACAAUUCUUCUUUCCAGGCUUCUUUUGUUUGGCUAACAAUUCUAGAAUCAACCAGGCAAACGGAGUUGGAAAUGCUCAAGUCAACAGCCAGAAGAUGAGAGGGCUGUGUAACAUGAAGCAGAAAUGUUGAUGGCAAGAAACAUAUCUGGGAAGGUAAACUUUCAUUUUUUAGUUAUGGAAUAUAAUCAGGGUUAUCAAUUAUUAGUGUGUCUUUAUCUAAUGUAGAACAUUUUCUUUUAACAUCAUCUUGUUACCAUUUAAAAUCAUGAAUCAUAUUGAAUUUUAUAAGAUUUAUCACUAAGUUACUCAUGAUUGUUGGAUUCCUCUCCUUUCUCUACUUCUUAGAGAGCAGACCCAGGCAAAGCAUGAAUGACAUCCAACACACCAAAUGCUCCCUACAUCUUUUUCAGGAGUACUAUACACAUGUACACAUCCACAGAUCUGUGCUUAUUUCUCUCUCUCUCUCUCUCUCUCUCUCUCUCUCUCUCUCUCUCUCCCUCUCUCCCUCUCUCCCUCUCUCUCUGUCUUUCUCUCUCUGUCUCUCUCUCUCUCUCUCGCUGUGUGUGUGUGUGUGUGUGUGUGUGCACGUAUGUGCAUCUAUCUAUCUAUCUAUCUAUCUAUCUAUCUAUCAUCUACAAUCUAUCUAUAAGUUUGUAACUUGGCUUCAAUUCCAACCCAAUCUUGUAGGAUCCAUUCUAGUCUACUGCCUUUCCUUAUCUGUAAUUCUUUCCUCCAAUAAGAACGUCUGAAUCUCAUUACCUACAAUGUAUUUGCUUGUUUUCUCAGUCACAGAGUACAUACAAUGAAGCUUUAAAUGUAUAGCACACAUCACUGCAAAACCUGAACUCACUAACCAGAGUAAUUGUGCAUAGUUCAUUUUGUCCUUUGCCUUGGAAUUGAUGUGAAAUAUCAUAAACCUACUUAGGCUUUUUCUUCUUUCCCAAACCCUGUGUGAUGAUAUUAUUGAUUUACGUUAAAUGCUUCUUUAACAUUUGUAGGAUUGCUUGCACAUUGAUUAAUUUAUUCAAAAUUAAAUGCAUUAGAAUAUUAAGAUAAAAUGAGUGUAAACUGUGACUGUCAGAAAGCAUCAAGUAGCUUUCACAACACAUCAAGUAAUGAAUCUUUAAAGAGAAAAUAUUUUAUUUUAUCUCACAGUUUUUGAGGUUUCAGCUCUUUAUUGGCUGUUCUCAUUGCUUCUGAGGCAGAAGUGAGGUAGCACACUGAGGACAAUCAGGUGCAUGCAUAUUUUUUCCUCUCUUUUCCCUUCCUCUACAUCUCUCAAUUUCAAAGUUUACUUUUUACUCACUAAAAGAUAAUCCAAUUGGGAAACCACAGAAAAGACAGAAUAACUGAACUACUGUUUUUAUUUGAAAUGAGGCAAUGAUUUUAAAUGAUGCUCUGAGUGAUGGGAGGCAGUCCCUUAAUCUCAAUUCAACUGGCUUUAAAAUCUGGUGAGACUUGUAUAGAGGUGAAAAGAGAUACUGUACUGCAGAUCAGUUUCCAGAUAAGUAAAAUCUUCUGUAUCUGCAAAAGCACUAAAUUUUCACUUUCUGUAUAGCAGGUGAUUUUAUAGCAAGGCUUCUUGGUUCCUGCUGUGCUGCCUCCUGAUCACAUGUGGAAUGUUAUUUUAGUUAGUUCAUCUAAAUUUCUUCAUCACAGUUUGAUUGUAUAAACAUGAAAUGAAACAUAAAUCUGUCCAGAGAACAUUACCUGAGAAAUCAUGGUGAUUGUCAGGUUUGCAACCGGGGACAAAUGGCUGAGGUGCCAGUUUAACUUAUUAAAGCAGAUGCCGAUCACUAGGUUCUCCCUGAACCCUUCAGUCCAUAUAUGUUAGAUGGCCCUCCUGGCUGGCUUACCCUGUCCCACAUGCUAAACUUCUCUAGCCCUGGGCCUGGGCCACCUUCCCCCCAACUGCCCUUCAUCAUAUAACCAUAUAACUUCAUCAUAAUCAUAUAACUGCCUAUAUCAUUUAACCAUUUUUGUUACCUGGUCCUCUACAUAUACUCUCUUUUGGACCUCCUGGCUGCUACACCUAGUUUCUUUCUCUCUCUCUCUCUCUCUCUCUCUCUCUCUCUCUCUCUCUCUCUCUCUCUCUCUCUCUCUCUCUCUCUCUUUUCCCAUCCCAACUCUCUUCAUAUAGUUCAGGAUUAUGUCCACUCUGUUAUUCUCCAGAUGUCUAUGCCUUGGGCUAAGCUAUCCCACAUAUCUAUAACAAACUUUCUCCUGCAUCAUACCUAGCAG